ACACAUGCAAGUCGAACGAGAAUCUGCUGAAGGAGGAUUCGUCCAACGGAUGUAGAGGAAAGUGGCGGACGGGUGAGUAACGCGUGAGGAACCUGCCUUGAAGAGGGGGACAACAGUUGGAAACGACUGCUAAUACCGCAUGAAGCAUAGGGGUCGCAUGAUCCUUAUGCCAAAGAUUUAUCGCUUCAAGAUGGCCUCGCGUCUGAUUAGCUGGUUGGCGGGGUAACGGCCCACCAAGGCGACGAUCAGUAGCCGGACUGAGAGGUUGAACGGCCACAUUGGGACUGAGAUACGGCCCAGACUCCUACGGGAGGCAGCAGUGGGGAAUAUUGGGCAAUGGGCGCAAGCCUGACCCAGCAACGCCGCGUGAAGGAAGAAGGCUUUCGGGUUGUAAACUUCUUUUAAGAGGGAAGAGCAGAAGACGGUACCUCUAGAAUAAGCCACGGCUAACUACGUGCCAGCAGCCGCGGUAAUACGUAGGUGGCAAGCGUUGUCCGGAUUUACUGGGUGUAAAGGGCGUGCAGCCGGGUCUGCAAGUCAGAUGUGAAAUCCAUGGGCUCAACCCAUGAACUGCAUUUGAAACUGUAGAUCUUGAGUGUCG
rnacentral:rRNA from 1 species